UACAGGGGGUGCAAACAUUGCUCGGAAUUAUUGGGCGUAAAGCGCGCGUAGGCGGCCACUUAAGUCGGAUGUGAAAGCCCCUGGCUCAACUGGGGAAGUGCACCCGAAACUGAAUGGCUUGAGUGCGAAAGAGGGUCGCGGAAUUCCCGGUGUAGAGGUGAAAUUCGUAGAUAUCGGGAGGAACACCGGUGGCGAAGGCGGCGACCUGGGUCGACACUGACGCUGAGGAGCGAAAGCGUGGGGAGCGAACAGG
rnacentral:rRNA from 1 species